AUCAGGUAUUGGUGGCAGAGUAGGCUCAAAGUCUCUCUGAGCUACAGCGUCAUGAACCGACAGGAGACUCUGUAGAGGAAACAGGAAUGCAGUGAAGCUGCCGAUCUGCAUUCAGCCACUGUUGGAAAAAAGCUCCCGAAUGUUCAAGGCUACACGACAGCUGCGGCGACAGCUAAAACAGAACAGCCUUGACCGUCAGCAGCAAGUGGAGAGGCGGAGAGUGACUGUGUGCAGUCGCCCGUCUUGUCAAGCAUAUUACUGUAAUGACUUCUACUGCUUCAAGAUGUCGAGGCACACUCCAGAGACACAAUGCAUGAAGGUCAUUAGUUUCCACUGUGAGCAAACAGAAGCCUCUCUGAGGGGAAACAGACCCACGGUUUGGCCCUUCCAGUAGGUCCUGAUGAUUUAAGCCAGGCAGAGAGUGGCUGUCGAACCGAAUCUGAAGCAAAGGGAGUGAAGGGAAGGAGAUGGAGAGGAGUGUGGGGGAGAGGAUAGGGCUAGAUAGGCAGUAUGGAAACAUGGCAGGAAUUACAAUAUGUAGGGUAUACAGCAGGGACAAGAUCAAGGAAAGCAAAUGGAGAGAAAGGGGAAGAAUAGAGAUAAUGGAAGGAGAGUGUGGUUUGGGGAUGGAGAGAAGAAAAGAUGGAAGCAUAGAGUAAGGGAAAAGUGUAAAAAGAACAUCCUUGUAAGGCACAAGAGGGGAAAAAUCAGGAAAUGAAGGUGGAACGCGAUCAAAAUGGUACAAAAAGGAUAGUGGGAUGAAAUGGAAAUAUAGGAAUGAUGGGUUGGUAACAGGAAUGAAGAGGACUGGUAUAUAUAAUAUGAUGCACAUCUGAAGAGAAUAGAGACUGGUUGUGCUGUUUUGAGUCACAACCGUAGUGGGAGUGCUCUCUGUCACUUCAUCUUAAAUCUGAAAUUAAUUGUAUUCCUCCAACACGAAACAUUAAACUACACACAAAAUGAUUUUAGCAGCCUUUCACUGUCUUCAGUGACCUAACUCCUGGCAUACAGAUACAAAAUGAUAUCUGCUGUCAAACAGCUUUUCAGACGCUAAUAUCCAAGGUGACAGAGUUUUGAGAUAACAUUUCAUAAUUCAGUGCUCAUAGGAAGGAAUGUACGUUCCACUCGUGCUCCUGUGUGACAGGAAAGUCAUCUGUAUAUCAGAGGGAACAAUUUGAACGAUGAAAAACCUUCCCUGCUCCCUCUGCUGUCAAACUGCCAUCCUCGGCAGCGUGUCUAUCUGCAAAAGAUGUUUGAGGAGAGACGCUUACGUCUAAGGCCAGACUCGCUGCAUGCUCUUGGACGGGGAUGGGGCUUCGCUUCUCAAAACGCUUCAGUCGCUCGUGGAUCUGUCAGGAAAAGUAUCACAAUAAAGGUUUCCUCUGCAGUAAAAUACACUUACUGCAACUUCUACUGUUAGUACUAAUCCAAAUUUCCACAAUAGGGGAUUAAUAAAGUAUAAAUCUUC